GACGAACGCUUGCGACGUGCCUAAGAAAUGCAAGUCGAACGGGGUAGCAAUACCUAGUGGCGAACGGUCGCGUAACACGUGGGCAACCUGCCCCAGAGCGGGGGAUAACAACCCGAAAGGGUUGCUAAUACCGCAUGUGAACCGGUGGUGGCAUCAUCAUUUGUUCAAAGGAGCAAUCCACUCUGGGAUGGGCCCGCGGCCUAUCAGCUAGUUGGUGGGGUAACGGCCUACCAAGGCUUCGACGGGUAGCUGGUCUGAGAGGACGAUCAGCCGGAUU
rnacentral:rRNA from 1 species